AUUGAACGCUGGCGGCAUGCCUUACACAUGCAAGUCGAACGGCAGCAUGGAGAGCUUGCUCUCUGAUGGCGAGUGGCGAACGGGUGAGUAAUGCAUCGGAACGUACCGUGUAAUGGGGGAUAACGUAGCGAAAGUUACGCUAAUACCGCAUACGACCUGAGGGUGAAAGCAGGGGAUCGCAAGACCUUGCGUUAUACGAGCGGCCGAUGUCAGAUUAGCUAGUUGGUGUGGUAAAGGCACACCAAGGCGACGAUCUUUAGCGGGUCUGAGACGAUGAUCAGCCACACUGGGAAUGGGACACGGCCGAGACUCCUACGGGAGGCAGCAGUGGGGAAUUUUGGACAAUGGGUGCAACCGUGAUCCAGCCAUGCGGCGUGAGUGAAGAAGGCCUUCGGGUUGUAAAGCUCUUUCGGCCGGGAAGAAAUCGCACAGGCUAAUACUCUGUGUGGAUGACGGUACCGGCAUAAGAAGCACCGGCUAACUACGUGCCAGCAGCCGCCGUAA
rnacentral:rRNA from 1 species